rnacentral:rRNA from 1 species
UACGGAGGGUGCUAGCGUUGUUCGGAAUUACUGGGCGUAAAGCGCGUGUAGGCGGCCCGCUAAGUCUGAUGUGAAAGCCCGGGGCUCACCCCCGGAAGUGCAUUGGAGACUGGCGGGCUCGAGUCCCGGAGAGGAGGGUGGAAUUCCUGGUGUAGCGGUGAAAUGCGUAGAUAUCAGGAGGAACACCGGUGGCGAAGGCGGCUCUCUGGGACGGUACUGACGCUGAGACGCGAAAGCGUGGGGAGCGAACAGG